UAAUGCCCUUGCUGAGAUUCCAU
rnacentral:miRNA from 1 species